rnacentral:lncRNA from 7 species
UCUCCCUUUUUCCUGUCGCUGGGCGAUAGUCAUUUCUACCCUUGCGACUCCUUUGGCUGUGUUCACGACUUCUCAGGCUGCGCCUGUGACUCUCACCAUUGACGUCACCCCUUCUGCGCACAUGGACCCUCUCGUUAGCGCGUCCCCUCGUGUAGGGCCCACCUCGUCGGCUGGUGUGGUUGCUUGGUCCGCGCCGUCAGCCGGUGCAGCCGCCUAGCUCGCCUUGUUCGUCGGCCUAGCCGCCUGGUCGACCCCGUCGGCCGUAUUCAUGCUUCCUAGCGCGGGCGCCCCCUUCCGCCGUCACCAUGGGCACGACUGCCACAACCUUGGUAGUCGGUGAGGUGCAACCUCCAGCGGUCCUCCCCUCGCAAGUGUGGCCGUCGACACCCUUUCCCUGCUAGCGAGUCCAUUGAACCAAUAUUUGC